rnacentral:rRNA from 1 species
GACGAACGCUGGCGGCGUGCCUAAUACAUGCAAGUCGAGCGGAUCGAUGGGAGCUUGCUCCCUGAGAUUAGCGGCGGACGGGUGAGUAACACGUGGGCAACCUGCCUAUAAGACUGGGAUAACUUCGGGAAACCGGAGCUAAUACCGGAUACGUUCUUUUCUCGCAUGAGAGAAGAUGGAAAGACGGUUUACGCUGUCACUUAUAGAUGGGCCCGCGGCGCAUUAGCUAGUUGGUGAGGUAAUGGCUCACCAAGGCGACGAUGCGUAGCCGACCUGAGAGGGGGAUCGGCCACACUGGGACUGAGACACGGCCCAGACUCCUACGGGAGGCAGCAGUAGGGAAUCUUCCGCAAUGGACGAAAGUCUGACGGAGCAACGCCGCGUGAACGAAGAAGGCCUUCGGGUCGUAAAGUUCUGUUGUUAGGGAAGAACAAGUACCAGAGUAACUGCUGGUACCUUGACGGUACCUAACCAGAAAGCCACGGCUAACUACGUGCCAGCCGCCGCGGUAACAC